ensembl:lncRNA
UUGUAAUCUCAAAUUUAAUAGUAUUUGCACUCAGUGUGUGCAUGGUCGCCAAAAUACUCAGAUGAUCCAUAUGGUUUUAUGCCUGGACUACAACAUUGUGAAUGCCCAGGUCGCCUUGAAACUACAGUAGUGUGCACCGUCCGUUGCCAUUUAUGGUUUGAGAGGUUAGCUAGGGAGUGACGUUUGUUAGGGAGUGACGUUUGCAGUGCCGAACGAGGUUCAUUGAAGUCUUGGUUGAAGUAUAUUUUCGACCUAGAUUCAUUGAAGUCAGCAACUCCAGUGAGGCGGCGGGGAGACCAAAACACGUUGAAACUGGGAUUAAUCUAUGACGAGCACACUUCUCCAGCAUGCCAGUGGCCAUCGACGGUUAGCAUUUGCCCACUGAAGUCUGUUAUGAUGCUGAACUGCAGUCAGGUCAAGACCCUGGUGAGGAUGACAAGCACGCAGAUGAGCUUCCCUGAGACGUUUGGCAGUUUGUGCAGAAAUUCUUUGGUUGUGCAAACCCACUGUUUUAUCAGCUGUCUGGGUGGCUGGUGUCAGACCAUUCCGCAGGUGAAGAAGCCGGAUGCUGAGGUCCUGGGCUGGCAUGGUUAAAUGUGGUCUGCGGUUGUGAGGCCGGUUCAACGUACUGCCAGAUUCUCUAAAAUGACAGAGGUGGGUUAUGGUAGAGAAAUUAACAUUCAUUUCUUUUGCAACCGCUCUGGAGGACAUUCCUGCAGUCAGCAUGCCAAUUGUGCACUCCC